UCCGCACGAGCGCACCCUCAGUUUUUAGUUGCCUUAUGGAACUCUAGAAAGACUGCCGGUUAUAAACCGGAGGAAGGCGGGGAUGACGUCAAGUCAGCAUGCCCCUUACACCCUGGGCUACACACGUGCUACAAUGGGUGAGACAAUGAGAUGCAACUCUGUGAAGACUAGCUAAUCUAUAAACUUACUCUAAGUUCGGAUUGUAGGCUGCAACUCGCCUGCAUGAAGUUGGAAUCGCUAGUAAUCGCUGGUCAGCUACACAGCGGUGAAUUCGUUCCCGGGCCUU
rnacentral:rRNA from 1 species